ensembl:lncRNA
CCUGCAUUCUUCUCAGAUGGCCCUGUGAUAAACUUUUCUCUGUUCCAAACUCCAACAUCUCAGUUUGUUUGGCUUCACUGUUCAUCGGGCUCAGGAACUUGUCUUCAGCAACAAGGAUUGUACCAGAAUUUCUAGCUUGCACAACAAGGCAAAGGUUGGCAUACAUGUCAAGAGAAUGUUCUCCAGCUGGGGCCUGCAGUACAGAGAAUUGUAUAUACCAGGGGGCUCCUGGGACUCUAGGCAGAUUAUUAUGGUAAUAUUGGAGGCUGUUGUCCUCUCUUCCCACAGCUGGGCCGCCUCUCUCAUUGUAAGUAUUGAAGCAAUAUGUUUUGCAAAUUAUACGUUGGGAACAACAGGGACCCAGUAAAGUGAGGAAAAAGAGAAACAUUGCAAAAUGUUGCCUUUAAUAUUAUAUUUUUUCUUGUUCAUCAAGCAAAAUAAAUGAAAGCUUUAAUUUUUUUUAAUUAAAUGAGGAUCGUAUAUGGAAAAAACAGAGCUCUGAGAGGAGAAACUUAAUAUUGAUUUUAUUGAGUGAGCGUUUUAAGAAAAUAUCGUUGCGGAGAAAUUAGACAGUAGCCUGAUUCAAGAGAAACAUGGUAAGAUGACAUAAUAGCCUUUAUUAUGGAUUUCAGAAAUCCUUUUGAGUCCAAUGAAGCUGGGCUAGCAAAAACUGCACAGAAAAUAUCAUUUUAAUUAGUGCUAAUGUGAUCUCGUCAUGGUCCAGCUGUUUCACGCAGGAGGAAAAUGUGUGUUACUUUAUUAGUAAUGCAUCUUAGAAAAAAUGUCACUUCUGAUUUUAAGCAUUUGUUAUUAAAGUACAUUUUAAUACAAUAGUAGAGAAACAUGAUUGAUUUGGCGAAAUGAGGCAUUAGUGAAAUUCAGGCAAAAGGGCUUAAAAGCCUUCUUAAUUGAGGAAGAAAUGUUUUCCUUCUGUCUGACCUUCCUUUCUGGAAACAUUAAUAACAAAACAAGAGUCAUCUCUCUAUGGCAGAUUUUGAAGACAUACCAUGUAAGAGAGAGUUAAAAUGUCAAUAAUUCACAAAUGAGCACUUUUUCCCUUCUGGAGCACAAACUUACCCCUCAAUUUAAAGUUGUAGGCUAAUUUUAACAAGUGCUCUGCUAAUCCAGUUUUCAUUAAUGAAUUUAAAUUUAUUCAUCAGCAAACAUUUUCACAUCUCUUUUGAUAGAGUAUGCUCAACUUAUUCUUUUGGGUCGAGCUUUCAUUAUUCCAGCAAGUCUUAACCCAACUCCUUCAUCCAGACAUCAAAUUCUGCAUCCUUUGAAAUAAGAAAAAUCCCCUGAUUUAAAAACUUAGGAGUAUGGCUCAGAUCCUUCUGUUAAACUCUUAUUUGAUUGAGCAAGACUGAGCCUUCUCACAGAAGACAAUAAUAUUAAGCACACUAUUUUUAUUUGUAAUAUGUCUUCUAUAUCUUUGCCAUAGACCUGUAAAACAGCUCACUAUGUGAAAUCUUGGGCCACGCUAAUAUGUUUAUCCAACCUCUUUAUUUGAUAUCAUGCCAAUAUAUUCUGGUUUGCUAUUGAUAGGGGUGUUCGGAUAUAAUUUACUACACUCAGCUAGAAAUUCAUUUAGGAGGAAUUGAGUAAAUCAAAGGCUGGUAGGAAGUGAUGAUCAACAUAAAUGCCAGCCUCUAUGAUCUUUACUGAAUUACAGCUAUCAUUUGGAAGUGGUAGUUGAGGGAGGGAAAAGCCAGCAAUUCUCUAUUGUUUUUUACUGCUGUUUCUCGUUUUUCUAAUCACUGUCUCAGGGUUUAGUAAAAAAAGAACACAAAUAGUAAACUUGAUUGAUGCUACCAGGGAGCUUAUUUGUCUGUGGCAAGCCUUCACAGCUUCAUGCAGGAGACUGCAGUUUUACCAUUCUUUUAUUCUUCUUGUCAUAUGGACUUGAGCAUAUUGAUUACUUUCAAAGUCCCAGAUACCGAACCAGAAGUAACUUUUGAUUUUAUAAAAUAGGCUCUUUUUUCAGUGAUUUUUUUCUUGGUAGACGAGAGCCUUUGUAGGCAAAACAAUUUUAUAUUAAGUCUGUUUAAGGGUUAAGCAACCAAUUCUUUUGAAUGGCAGCCUGAAACAUGUAUACACACACAUGUUAUUUUUCUACACAUGAUAUCCUGCUGUCGUGAAUGGUGGUAACAAGGCUGUCUUGCGUUCUUGCUGGAGAGAGAACGUGGGCGCCAUAAAACCCUGAAAAAGGAACAGAGGUGUGUUUCUCCACUUUUUUGGUCCUGACAAUUUUUAUACUGUGUGCUUCAUUCACAGUGAGUGGGUGAAAUGUUAUUUCACAUCAGAUAUAUUCUCAUUUUUACUUUGAAGUUUUGGUUAUAUGGAAGCAUGAUUUUGGGGGUGACAUUUUUUGUGUAUUGAAUAUACAGGUGUCUGUCUGCUUACCAGUAUGACUAGCCUUUACCUGUUGGGAGCCAAGCUGAAGAAAAUAUUAAAAACCCAACAAUUGCUGUUCGGUCACUCAGUUGUGUCCAACUCUGAGACCCCCAUGGACUGCAGCAUGCCAGGCUUCCCUGUCCUUCCCUAUCUCCCAGAGUUUGCUCAAACUCAUGUCCAUUGAGUCGGUGAUGCCAUCCAACCAUCUCAUCCUCUGUCAUCCCCUUCUUCUCCUGCCCUCAAUCUUUCCCAGCAUCAGGAUUUUUCCAGUGGGUCAGCUCUUCGCAUCAGGUGGCCAAAGUAUUGGAGCUUCAGCUUCAGUAUCAGUCCUCAUGAAUAUUCAUGGUUGAUUUCCUUUAGUAUUGACUGAUUGAUCUCCUUGUAGUCCAAGGGACUCUCAAGAGUCUUCAGUACCACAGCUUGAAAGCAAUAAUGGAUGCAGGAAUAUUUCUCUCUCUUUCAAACAAUACCUAGAGAAAUGUAUGGAGAAGAUUGGGUUCCAGACCCAGGUUUGGAUUUCUAUCAUAUAAAAGACAAGAUUCUAAUAAUGUCAAGCCAAUGUACAGAGCUAGGCAGCAAUGGAGGGCAUCACGGUGGCUCUCAGUCCUAACAAUUGAGUAGGUAGCUUUCAGGAAUAGUUGUGGCACCACUGAAGAUUUUCAUGAUAUUCAGUGUGUUCAAUUCUCAUCAAUCAAUCAAUCUUUUUUGAAUGUCUACUGUGUGCAAAGGUGUGGGCUAGGCAUUGUGGGGGAUUCAUAAGAAAGUGGAGACAGAGUUUCGACUUUCAAGGAGCUUUUGUUUUGCUAGAGAGACAAAGAUAAAGGGUAAGAUCAAAAUGGCCAGGUUCUGAAUGACAGACCUUAAGGGCUUCAGGACAGAGUGAUCACCAUGGAUUAUUGUAGAAGAUCAACAUAGUCCAACUCUUUUGCAACCCCAUGGACUGUAACCCACCAGGCUUCUCUAUCCAUGGAAUUUCCCAGCCAAGAAUACUGGAGUGAGUUGCCAUUUCCUCCUCCGGGGGAUCUUCCCAACCCAGGGAUCCAACCUGAGUCUCCUAUGUUUUCUGCAUUGGUGAGGUGAGGUGAAGUCGCUCAGUCAUGUCCAACUCUUUGCGACCCCGUGGACUGUAACCUACUAGGCUUCUCUGUCCAUGGGAUUCUCCAGGCAAGAAUACUGGAGUGGAUUGCCAUUUCCUGCAUUGGUAGGUAGAUUCUUUACCACUGAGCCACCCGAGAAGCCCCUGAGUAUGCACACAUGCAUGAAAAAUGCCCAGAUUCUGAAUGACAGGCCUCAAGGGCUAUACGACACUAGAGUGGUCACCAUGGAUUAGAAUAUCAACAUCGAUUUCAGAUGGCAGGCUGGAUAAGAAUAUAAACUUCCAGGAGAGGGUAAAGGAAGUGAGUCAAAAGGCUGAAUUGAGGAUGUGAUGGAAUAAAGUGGAGAAUGUUUCAGUAUCACUCUAUCAUUUAGGGGACAGCUUAGUGAUGCAUUUCAGUGGGGACAUUCUACCAGAACAUUAGUCUGUAGGAGUACUGACAUAGGUGUACAUGGGUUGAAGUCUGACUUCCCAGGUCUAGAAAUUGACAUCUCAGUUGUAUUGACUCCAUUUAAAUUAUAAGUUAUUUCAAAGUCUUGGGACAAUUCCUGUCAGUGGCCAAAUUCUUUUCUAAGUAUUGCGCAUACACCUGGCUUCAUACAGGCAGAUUCAGUUAGUAGAACUUGACAUUUUCUCCAUCAUUUAUUAAAUAUAAAAUCUUUUGAUCAAAGUAAAAUUUUUUUCCUAAUGAACACCAGUGGCUUCUACAUAGAUAUAUCCUUUCACAGUCCAGGGAAAACUGGAAAAUGAUAAAGCAAUCCAGAAAAAACAUGAAAGGCAAUGCCAACAAAAUUCUGCUGAUACUUCUUAGAAGUAAAGAGUUAUAUUUACAUAUUUUUAAAGACUUGCCGACAUAAUUAAGGUCUGAGAAUUUCUUUCAGGUGACUGGUUCCUUGGCAUUGCUUUUAUACUUUUUAAAUAUCUUUAAUGAGUAAAAACUUUCCUUUUGUUUAAGCUUCCUUCAGAGUUAACUUUUCUCCUAUAUCCGUUUUUUUCCAAAGCACACUCAAGGGAAAAAAAUGGUGAUAAUCUGGGUAGCUUCAGUAUGUAGGUAAUUCAGCGUGUAGGACUGAGAGACUCUCAAGUAUACUGUACUCAUUUCAUCACAUACCAUUUCAAAAUUGUUUCAAGCAUUCUUUGUCAGUAUAAGUGUGCAUUUUUAAGGGCCCCCUGACCUGCCUUCUCAACUGUCAUCAAGAUAUUAAAGAAUAGUCAUUAAUUGAUUAAUUGAUCUUUGGCUGUGCUGGCCCUUCAUUGCUGCAUGGGACUUUGUCUAGUUGUGGUGAUGAGGGGCUACUCUCCAGCUGCAGAGCAUGGGCCUCUCAUUCAAGAGGCUUCUCUUGUUUGGAGCACAGACUCAGGGGUGCCUGGGCUUCAGUAGCUGUGGUACACGGGCUUAGAAGUUGCAUCUCCCAGACUCUAGGACAACUAGGCUCAAUAGUUGUGAUGCACAGGCUUAGUUACUCUGAGACUUGUGGGAUCUUUCCAGACCAGGGAUUGAACCCAUGUCUCUUACAUUGGCAGGCAGAUUCUCAUCCACUAGACCAUGAGGGAAACCCUACAGAGUAGUCUUAACAUUAGCCAUAGGAGGCCUUGGCAGCAUUAGUUAAUUUGGCCUAGUAUGCACUGAGUAAAUUAUACUCCAUGGAAGACAUUAUAUAGUUGGCCUUUGUACAACUUGGGUUUGAACUGUGUGGAUCCACCAUUCCAUUUUUUUCAGUAAUAAAUACUACAGUACUACACAAUUCAUGAGUUGGUUGAAUCCAAGGAUAUGGAACCCCAGGUAUGCAGGAACUGAGUCUACUCUAAAUUAUAAUUGAAUUGUCACCUACAUGGAGGAUUGGUGGCCCAACCCUGCAUUGUGCAAGGGACAAAUGUAUAUAUAUGUAUAUUUAUUAUGUGUAUAUGUAUUUAUAUACCAUUUGUAUGUUUAUUCAUUUAUUAAUAUAUUUGUAUAAAUGUUCAAUGUGUGGUUUUCUGAGCAGACUUACUAAAAAUGCAGAUUUCUGGGCCCCAUCAUAGACUUUCUGAAUCAGAAUCUCUAUGAGUAGUUUAAAUGCUCUGCAUUUUUCACAAUAUCCCUCCUUGAUACUUAUAAUAAAAUAUGAGAUCUACUAGUAUAGAAGUUUGCAAUGCAAACAGCACUUCAGUUCAGUUCAGUUUAGUCACUCAGUUGUGUCUGACUCUUCGUGACCCCAUGGACCACAGCAUGCCAGGCCUCCCUGUCCAUCACCAACUCCCAGAGCCUACUCAAAUUCAUGUCCAUCAAGUUGGUGAUGCCAUCCAACCACCUCAUCCUCUGUCAUCCCUUCUCCUUCUGCCUUCAAUCUUUCUCAGCAUCAGGGUCUGAGAAAGUUUAAAUGAGUUUUAAAUGAGUCAGUUCUUUGAAUCAGGUGGCCAAAGUAUUGGAGUUUCAGCUUCAACAUCAGUCCUU